rnacentral:lncRNA from 1 species
CUUUGUGGGACUGAGGUGGCGCUGAGUGGGAGAGCAGCAGGCGAUGCGCGAAAGGCGGGACUUGGAGGUGAGGGAAAUGUGAAGGCUGAGGGUGAGAGUGCCUGUGUGAGGCUGAGGGUGCCUGUGUGAGGGUGAGGGUGAGGGCGGCUGUGUGAGGGCUGAGGGCUGAGGGUGCCUGUGUGAGAGCUGAGGGUGCCUGUGUGAGGCUGAGGGUGCCUGUGUGAGGCUGAGGGUGAGGGCGGCUGUGUGAGGGCUGAGGGUGCCUGUGUGAGAGCUGAGGGUGCCUGUGUGAGGCUGAGGGUGAGGGCGGCUGUGUGAGGCUGAGGGUGGCUUUGGGAGGGCUGAGGGUGUUUGUGUGAGGGGUGAGGGGUAAGGGUGAGGCAAGAAAAUCGGGUCUGGAGGCAGGGAACCUAAGGACUUCCUAGAAGUAAAUCAAAUGGAAACUGCAGCUAUGGUAGGAAAUAUCCUCUCCAUUUAUGCAGGGCGUACAUGGAGUAAAUCACUUUGUAACUUUACUUCGUCCUCUUCAUUUACAUAGGGCAUAUACCAAGUAACCAAUGGAAACCUCUAGAGGGUAUUUAAACCCCAGAAAAUUCUGUAACCGGGCUCUUGAGCCCCUAUGCUCCGGCCUGCUCCCAUACAGUGGAGUGUACUUUCAUUUUCAAUACAUCUCUGCUUUUGUUGCUUCAUUCUUUUCUUUGUGCAUUUUGUCCAAUUAUUUGUUCAAGAUGCCAAGAACCUGGACACCCUCCACCAGUAACAAGGGUACCUGGGUGAGAGGUGAGGGUGCCCAUGUUAGGAGUGAGGGGAGAGGGUGCCUGUCUGAGGGCUUGUGGGUGUGAGUGUCUGUGUAAGUACUGAAGGUGCCUUUGUGAGAGGUGAGCGGUGUGGUUGCCUAUGUCAGGGUGUGUAUUGAGUGUAGCUAUGUGUGGCUCUCUGUGAACACAUGUAAUCAUUUUUAUAAAUGUGUAUCAUUUUUUACUGAAUUUGAGCUGGGCGUCUGUCUGCAUGAGUCACUCUGUGACCAGGUUUGUGGGUUGUUCUGUGUGCUUACUCUGCGUGUGUGUGACCUGUGAUUUAAUCAUCAUAUGUGAUAAUCAUGCAGCUGUGUUUGCCUGCACCAGGUGUAAUUGUGUCUGAGACAGAUACUUAGAGGUAAUGGGGUGGACCUGACACAGUAUAAAGGCCCUAGACUGUGUGUGAUGUUGUUACGGUGACUGUGAAUGGUAGUGUGAUUGUGUGAUUCAGUCGAUGCCUGGACUGUGUGUGAGAAUGUAUCUUCUCUGUGUGUGUGUGUAUGUGUAAGAGACAUUGAGCAGGAGACUCUGGCUUGGGGCCCGAUACAUAGAGGUUGGUGGCCCAGCCU